UACGAAGGGAGCUAGCGUUGUUCGGAAUCACUGGGCGUAAAGCGCACGUAGGCGGAUGUGUCAGUCAGGGGUGAAAUCCCGGAGCUCAACUUCGGAACUGCCUUUGAUACAGCACGUCUUGAGUCCGGAAGAGGUGAGUGGAAUUCCUAGUGUAGAGGUGAAAUUCGUAGAUAUUAGGAAGAACACCGGUGGCGAAGGCGGCCCACUGGUCCGGUACUGACGCUGAGGUGCGAAAGCGUGGGGAGCAAACAGG
rnacentral:rRNA from 1 species